AACGCUGGCGGCGUGCUUAAUACAUGCAAGUCAACUUGACUUUAGAUAGCAAUAUCGGAAAAGUAGGGUGGCGCACGGGUGCGUAACGCGUAGGUAAUCUGCCCUGAGGUCUGACAUAACCCGUCGAAAGGCGGGCUAACAUCAGAUGAUAUAUAAUCACGACAUCGUGGAAAUAUCAAAUCUUCGGAGCCUUGGGAUGAGCCUGCGUCUGAUUAGGUAGUUGGCGGAGUAAUAGCCCACCAAGCCUACGAUCAGUAGCUGGUCUGAGAGGAUGAUCAGCCACACUGGAACUGAGACACGGUCCAGACUCCUACGGGAGGCAGCAGUAAGGAAUAUUGCUCAAUGGGGGAAACCCUGAAGCAGCAACGCCGCGUGAAGGAUGAAAUACUUUGUAUGUAAACUUCUGUAAGAUGGGAAAAAUAUUCUCCUCGGGAGAAUUGAUUGUACCAUCAGAGUAAGCCCCGGCUAACUACGUG
rnacentral:rRNA from 1 species